GGUAAGGUGGCUGAUUAAGCAUUAGACUGUAAAUCUAAAGAUAGAGGUUUGAGUCCUCUUCUUACCA
rnacentral:tRNA from 1 species